rnacentral:rRNA from 1 species
CGUGACCUUCGGGUCACUAGUAGAGCGGCGGACGGGUGAGUAACACGUGGACAACCUGCCUGGGAGUGGGGGACAACUUGGGGAAACUCGAGCUAAUACCGCAUACGCCUCUUCCUCCAUGGAGGAAGAUGGAAAGGUGGCUUCGGCUGCCGCUCCCAGAGGGGUCCGCGUCUGAUUAGCUAGUUGGUGGGGUAACGGCUCACCAAGGCGACGAUCAGUAGCCGGCCUGAGAGGGUGAUCGGCCACACUGGAACUGAGACACGGUCCAGACUCCUACGGGAGGCAGCAGUGGGGAAUAUUGGACAAUGGGCGAAAGCCUGAUCCAGCAACGCCGCGUGGAGGAUGAAGGCCCUCGGGUUGUAAACUCCUGUCAGGUGGGACGAAAAGGGCUCGGUCAACAGCCGAGUCCGCUGACGGUACCACCGGAGGAAGCCCCGGCUAACUCCGUGCCAGCAGCCGCGGUAAUACGGAGGGGGCGAGCGUUAUUCGGAAUUAUUGGGCGUAAAGGGCGCGUAGGCGGCCUGGCAAGUCAGGGGUGAAAUCCCUCGGCUCAACCGAGGAACUGCCUCUGAAACUGCCAGGCUCGAGGCCGGGAGAGGGUAGUGGAAUUCCCAGUGUAGCGGUGAAAUGCGUAGAUAUUGGGAGGAACACCAGUGGCGAAGGCGGCUGCCUGGACCGGUUCUGACGCUGAGGCGCGAAAGCGUGGGGAGCAAACAGGAUUAGAUACCCUGGUAGUCCACGCUGUAAACGAUG